GGGUGCUCAGAUGCUUCCACCAUAUUCUAUUGGUGAUUCCAGCCUGGCCAAGAUUCAAAGCCAGAGGGGCUGUCAGAAGGUGUGCAUAUUGGAGGUGUGGUUAAGUAUACUGGAGGUGUGGUUAAUUGUAUUGGAGAUGUGUUAAUUAUACUGGAGGUGUGGUUAAUUGUAUUGGAGGUGUGGUUAAGUAUAUUGGAGGUGUGGUUAAGUAUACUGGAGGUGUGGUUAAUUGUGUUGGAGGUGUGGUUAAUUAUGUUGGAGGUGUGGUUAAGUAUAUUGGAGGUGUGGUUAAGUAUACUGGAGGUGUGGUUAAUUGUAUUGGAGGUGUGGUUAAGUAUACUGGAGGUGUGGUUAAUUGUAUUGGAGGUGUGGUUAAGUAUACUGGAGGUGUGGUUAAUUGUAUUGGAGGUGUGGUUAAGUAUACUGGAGGUGUGGUUAAUUGUAUUGGAGGUGUGGUUAAGUAUACUGGAGGUGUGGUUAAUUGUAUUGGAGGUGUGGUUAAGUAUACUGGAGGUGUGGUUAAUUGUAUUGGAGGUGUGGUUAAGUAUACUGGAGGUGUGGUUAAUUGUAUUGGAGGUGUGGUUAAGUAUACUGGAGGUGUGGUUAAUUGUAUUGGAGGUGUGGUUAAGUAUACUGGAGGUGUGGUUAAUUGUAUUGGAGGUGUGGUUAAGUAUACUGGAGGUGUGGUUAAUUGUAUUGGAGGUGUGGUUAAUUGUAUUGGAGGUGUGUUAAUUGCUGAGUAGUUUCCAUGAGCAUUUCCCAGAUCCAGCUAUUGCUUUGUGUUGAGCCCACCUGCCCUGUGGUUAGUGAGGUGACUCUAUUAAGAUCCAUGUCAAGACCUUGAAUUAGCAACUGGCAGUGCAAAAUGGAUUUUAUUUACCUGACAAAACUGAACCAAAGGAGAGUCAAAUUUGUAACUAGGUCCCCUUCGCUAGAACCAUGGUGGCUGAGUGCAGAUGUCAUGGUCCAGAGCUCCACUGGACAGCCCACUGGGGCCAAGGUUGGCAGGCCACAGAGGUCAGAAACAGUUUUCUGGCUGGUUUGAUAGCUACAAGGGGAUUGGAGGAAUUAAGGGCGUCUUUUGUAAAGCCGUGAAGCCUUCCUAUGACGAAUGAGGACCCCUUAGCCUGACUAUUCCUCCUUCUUAUCGGGAGUACCUGGGCACUGUCUGACUCUGUGACCCACGAGUCAGGAUGGGGAGGCAUUCAGGGAAAUCCCCUUUGAAGCCAAAGCAGCUAAAAUAUAAGUCAAGGUAAAAAUUAAACCGGCUGCUAAUUCCUUUUCUGUGAAGUAUCUUUCAAUCCUCGUUAAAAGGAUUAAUUCUUCAAAGCAAGGAGUCUUGUUUGCUAAAUUCUUGCGAGAGGCAUGAACAGAGACAGGACAGCUGGAUUGUCAGUUGCAGGCAGAAGCCCAGCGUGGUCUGAACUCCCACUGGGCAGCAUCAUCCCUGGGGUGACCCCCACCCCCAC
rnacentral:lncRNA from 1 species